rnacentral:lncRNA from 1 species
UCAGACUCUCCAAGAUAUGCAGAGCUUUGGGCCAGGAUCCUACAGCCACGGGUCAUGCAGAGCCAGUUGGCCACAUCCUUUGGGCCAAAUUUGGUCCUAACCAGGUCUUACCACGGUAACUGCUAACCAGUCCAUCUUCAGUUAAUAUUUCAUGCGUAAGAUGUUUCAUGAAGUAACUGAAUGGGCUAAUGGGUUGUUCACUGGAUAAGACUCCCAGAUACUCCCUUUCAUGCCAUUCCCCAGAAUUCCUUCACCUCCCAGUGCUGUCUGUAAGGGUGAAGAUACUCCAUUUUGCCCCAUGCUCUUUGCUGUGCCCCAGAUAGGCUCAAACAUUUUUCCCUUUUGGGGAUUUUGCAGGUAGGAAUUGUUGAACAUCUUACCAUUUAAUCCAGAAGUUAUGUCCUUUAAGGAAUCGACCCUGAGCCUGUGAGUUUUACUUUGGGUUGGGGGUGAAGGAGUGGACCUUGCAGCAUUCAAGGUCAUCCAAGAUCAUCCAGUUAAGGCCCCUAAGGUCACUACGGGGGGAAAAGCCUGGUGAGGGAAGAGAAAGCAUUAGGGGGAGCUGCACCGUGCUGAGAAAUAACACCACACAGAAGUCUGUGUUCUAAUCUCAGCUCUGCUUUGCAUUACUGUGUGACCUGGAGCUGAUCACAGCCCUCUGAGUCUUAAAGGGGUUGGACAAGGCCAACUAAACAUUAGAAACACCUGAAAGUGCUGGUUAAAAGGAAGAAUGCAUGAGCUUCACUCCAGAUUUACUAUAUCAGAAUUUCCAGGGUCAGGGUCCAAGAAUCUGCAUGUUUAAUACGCUUUCCACAUGAUUUUUCCCCCCUCUGGACUUAAGAAAACAAUGGGCAAGUCAGCUCAUGAAGAACUUUUCAGAUAUUCAGACUAUUAUUCUGAGAGAGAAAAUAUUGGCAGAGAACAGAUGGGAUUUUUCUCAAGGAAAAGAAAUGGAAAUCCUACAUCUUGCAAGAAAUAGAAAAAAAUAAAUAAACUGUUUGAAGAAGAAUCACAUCAGGCUGGCAGGAGAGAGCCUGCGGCUCGGUGUCUGACCCAGAAUGUUAAAGCCAGCCUGGCUUGGCUCCAGGAUAAAGGACACUCUGUCAGCCUCUCCACAUUGAUUCAUCUCCCCAGCCCCAAGAUCAGGAGAGCAUUCUGUUCCUUGAAGCAUUUUAUGACUGUAAGUCAGAAGUGCUGCAGUUUUAAUAAAAAGCUGUAUUGUCCUGAU